GACGAACGCUGGCGGCGUGCCUAACACAUGCAAGUUGAGCGACGAACCAGGGCUUGCCCUGGGGCAAAGCAGCGAACGGGUGAGUAACACGUGGGUAACCUACCCCGAUAACCGGGACAACCCGAGGAAACUCGGGCUAAUACCGGAUGUGCUCACUGGACUUCGGUUCAGUGCGUAAAGGAAGCUUCGGCCUCCGUAUCGGGAGGGGCCCGCGGCCCAUUAGUUUGUUGGUGAGGUAACGGCUCACCAAGACCGCGAUGGGUAGCUGGUCUGAGAGGACGAUCAGCCACACUGGGACUGAGACACGGCCCAGACUCCUACGGGAGGCAGCAGUGGGGAAUCUUGCGCAAUGCGCGAAAGCGUGACGCGGCAACGCCGCGUGGGGGAAGAAGGCCUUCGGGUUGUAAACCCCUUUCAGGAGGGGCGAAGGUUCGGCGGUGAAUAGCCGUCCGGACUGACGGUACCUCCACAAGAAGCCCCGGCUAACUACGUG
rnacentral:rRNA from 1 species